CUGAAGAAAUGAUAGAGUUGAGCUGGCUCCUUAGGAGUAUGUGCUCGCUCCAUCGCUUUUUCUACUCUCCACUGUGCACCUCUUGUAGGCUUACGAUGUUUCAGCUCGAAAGGGUUGGAUUCAGAGGGCUAGCAGUUCACCUGCUUGGCCUCGACUUCGUAGCCUAUGUCUUACAUACACUCUGUCAAAGUAUAUGAAUGUGUAUCGUUGGUCUUUGACCGAUAAACUACAUA
rnacentral:misc_RNA from 1 species